UGAGUAAUGCGUGACCAACCUGCCCAUGCUCCAGAAUAGCUCUUGGAAACGGGUGGUAAUGCUGGAUGCUCCAACUUGACGCAUGUCUUGUUGGGAAAGUGUUUAGUGGCAUGGGAUGGGGUCGCGUCCUAUCAGCUUGUGGGCGGGGGUAAUGGCCCACCUAGGCUUCGACGGGUAGCCGGCCUGAGAGGGCGGACGGCCACAUUGGGACUGAGAUACGGCCCAGACUCCUACGGGAGGCAGCAGCC
rnacentral:rRNA from 1 species